CAGUAUUCAUAUAGCACUUAAACCUCCUUUAUAAUAUAAAAGCCAUGAAAAUCUCACUUUUUACAAUAUGGGACCUUUAAAGGUGCUCAUCAUUGUGUGAUCAUUGAUCAAGAGAGUGACUUUCCUGAUGCAUGUGGUAGCCUCUGAACACCAACACACUGUGCCCAUACUACCAUACUGUUUAGUAUGAAAGAAAAAGAUUUUGUAUAUUCCAAUACAUAGUAUGUGAAAUGCAGUAUGCCAAGAAUACCAGGAUGUCCUACUACAUCCGGUCGCAUAUUGCAGUAUGUAAGGCAGCAUGUAUAUAUGAGCAAGGGGGUCAAACUUCAAUGUUAAGAAGUAGUAUGUCCCAAUUAUAUGCAUACUGCAUGCAAUGUACUUUGUAUGGGCAGUUGCAGUAUGUACUAAAAGUAAAAGAAAAAGUAUAAGAUUUGGAACGUGUGUGUGUUGAAAGUCUUCCAUGUCUGCCAUGAUGACCCUGAUGAGCUCUGGGAGGAGCCACAUGCUCACCUGUUGCUGUCUGGAGUCAACUAGACACAGGUGAACUCAGUCAACCCUGAAUCAGUGCUCUUAUAACUAGGAGGAGAAACCAUUGCUCUGAUUGCUCUGCCACCAACCAGUGUGGUACCUUAUGCUUGUUUAGUGCAUCCAAAAAGGGAGUUGCCAGCGUGUGCUUCAACAUGGACAUGUCCCUCAUGUCCCUCAUGUAUAUAUGUAUAUAGUAUUUUUAGGGUGUUGCCAGCGUUGCUUCAACAUGGACAUGUAUCCCUCAUGGUGUGUGUUGCCCAGCAGAGGGGGCUGCUGACGGCAGACGAGAGGAACCGCAACCUGCAGCCCGGCCCUGGUGCACAAAGCCCUCAGGGAGCAUCUGAAGAAC